UUUCAAGAGAAUUUGAUCCUGGUUCAGGAUGAACGCUGGCGGCGUGGAUAAGGCAUGCAAGUCGAGCGAAUGCGGUCCGCAAGGGCUGCGUUAGCGGCGAACGAGUUAGUAACACGUAGGAACUUUCCCUCUUCACAGAAAUAACUCUUCGAAAGAAGAGCUAAUGUCUGAUAGUCCCUGAGAGCAAUCGAAGGGUAAAGGUGUACGCAAGUAUGCCGGAAGAGGAGAGGCCUGCGGGCUAUCAGCUAGUUGGUAGG
rnacentral:rRNA from 1 species